ACUUAAGUAUUAUAAAUAAUUAAAAUUAUAUUUAACUUCCAAUUAAAAAAUCUAGAAAAUUACUCUAGCUUAAGUA
rnacentral:tRNA from 1 species